GGGCGCAGCGCGGUCGCCCGCGGCAGUUGGCGCGGCUGAGGCGGCGGCUCCGGCCUGGCUCUCUCCAUGGGGGGAGGGGGACGCCCCGGCCUACUCCCGGCCCGGAUUUCCGUUGUCCUUAGUUACCUCUCCCCAGUCCGGAGGGCCCGACAAUGGCGUUGCCCAGGAAACAGAGCGGUUCCACGCCACUGACCUCCAGGAGAUAAAGCCGUGUAAUGUGUUACAGAAAGUUCUGGGAUUGGUUCUUUUCCAUUGACUAAGGAAGGCUUAGAGGAGAAUUUCCAUUCACUGACUGACUGAUUUAUUCAUUCCAUAAAUAUUUACUGAACCCCUAGAAUGUGACAAGCUCUGUGCUAGGCACUAGGAAUAUAACAGAGAAUAAGACAAAUGAUUCCUCUUCCCUUACACAACUUACGUUUUUAAGAGAAAUUUUAAAUUCAUACCAAAACUGUUCAGGGUCACAACAGUGUCCUCAAAGAAGGUUACUUAAAAUGAAUCGAAUAAAACAAUGUUGUGGACAGAAUGUUUGAGGCCCCCCAAAUUUCUGUGCUGAAACCCUACACCCCCACCCACAGUGUGCCUAUAUUUAGAGAUGGGAUCUCUAAGGAAGUAAUUAAGGUUAAAUGAGGUCAUAAUGGUGAGGUCCUGAACUGACAGGAUUAGUAUCUUUAUGAGAAGAGACACCUGAGAACUCUUUCCAUUCCUAUAAUCACCUCAAAAACACACUGAGGAAAGUCCAUAUGUGGACAUAGUGAAAAGA